CCUGUACCGACUGUGUUUAUUCCGUCCCGAAUUUCCUCAAUUGUCGGGGUGAUCUCUAUGGUUCCAAAUCUGAACACCAUUUUCUCGUUGUGCCAAUAGCCUGUGAGGACUUCAAUCAGUUCGGGCCACCCAACCAUGUUGAUGAGUUCUGUUAGGGCUCCUAUAUAUUUGUUGAGGGCCCUUUUGUGAACCACAGUGAGGUCAUUGUACCACAUUUUGAGUAGAACCGGGACUUCC
rnacentral:lncRNA from 1 species